AAGUCGUAACAAGGUUUCCGUAGGUGAACCUGCGGAAGGAUCAUUAACGAGUUUACUGAGUUGUCGCUGCCCUCUCGGGGGAUGUGCACGCUCUUUCACUCAUCUAUACACCUGUGCACCUAUGCGAGUCAAUGGGGGAUUAGCGAAAGAGACCUGCAAAGGUUUCGACUAGCCUUCUCUGUCGGCUCGAUUUUUUAUAAACUCUUGUAUGUCUUAGAAUGUCUACUUUGCUUAACGCAAUAAAUACAACUUUCAACAACGGAUCUCUUGGCUCUC
rnacentral:misc_RNA from 1 species